UACGUAGGGUCCGAGCGUUGUCCGGAUUUAUUGGGCGUAAAGAGCUCGUAGGCGGUUUCGUAAGUCGGAUGUGAAAACUCAGGGCUCAACCCGGAGACGCCAUCCGAUACUGCGAUGACUGGAGUCUGGUAGGGGAUCACGGAAUACCUGGUGUAGCGGUGAAAUGCGCAGAGAUCAUGAGGAAGACCAGUGGCGAAGGCGGGUCUCUGGACAGUUCCUGACACUGAGACACGAAGGCCAGGGGAGCGAACGGG
rnacentral:rRNA from 1 species